GNCUGUACCAUAUGAAUAAGGACCUGCUAACUACGUGCCAGAAGCAUCGGUGAUGCGUAGGGUCCGANCGUUAUCCGGAUUUAUUGGGUGUAUAGAGAUGCGUANNNNGUUUGAUAAGUCUUGAGUUAAAGACCUCGGCUCAACCGAGGGAAAGCUUUCGAUACUAUCAGACUUGAGGCAUAGAGGGGUGAACGGAACUCCGAGUGGAGUGGUGAAAUACGUUGAUAUUCGGAAGAACAUCAGUGGCGAAGGCGGUUCACUGGCUAUUGCCUGACGCUCAGGCUCGAAAGCGUGGGUAGCAAAACGGAUUAGAUACCCGUGUAGUCCACGCCGUAAACUAUGGAUGCUAGGUGUUUGGUAUAACUACAUUUAACCUUCGGGUUUUAAGUAGAAGUACUGAGUGCCGCAGCUAACGCGUUAAGCAUCCCACCUGGGAAGUACGGCCGCAAGGCUAAAACUCAAAGGAAUUGACGG
rnacentral:rRNA from 1 species